CGCUCUUUCGUCAAAAGCCGACGACCACUGACCGGUACUCACAGAUCGUAUAGAUAGAAGAGCUACUGCUACGGGGACGAGGAGUGACAGAGACAGAACAAUGGGUUUAUGGUUGACCGCCACUACGUAGCCACGAUUUUUAUUGUUGUAGUAUGAGGUUUUGGAGUUUGGAGCAGCUACUUUGUGCACCUCAAGUGGGCCCGCCCUUUUUACCACUUGUUUCACACUUUUCUUUAAUAACUCGCACCCAAUUUUUAGCAGAAAAAAUUUGAUUUCAUUUUUAUUUCCUUAAACCUGUUCGUAAUCUGCCUGGUGUUACAAAACGGAAAUUCCACGUAAGAUCCAAACAAAUCAUUAUAAGGAGUUCGUAGUCUUGCGAAUAUAAAAGUCGUACAGUUUUGCCGAAGGGGAGAGAGUGAUAGAGAGAACGAAAAAGUAGUCCUCGUCUUGUGUACGCCAAGGCAGAUUCAUGGACGACAACCAAAGUUCGACAUGUCAUGCAAAAAUUAGUGUUGCUUCGUGGCACCAAAUGGACAUCGAAACAUCAGCGAAAAAAAAUAUUCGACACGUUAGACGCCAUUUGUCGGCUCUCACGCUUAAUGCAAUGUAUGUGUGUGCGAGUGGGAGGUUGCAACAUCUAUUAAAAGUACAGAGCGUCGCAUAAUCAACCGUGCAUACUUAUAUAUACUGUGCAUGCGUGCGUGCGUACGUCAUGAAAAGCCCGGAAAUACCGCGCCCAAGCAUUGCGUUCCGGUUUUCUGUGCUGCUGCUGCCUGCAGCCACUUCAUUUAUAGAGCGCUCGAGAGGGGAUUUACGCCGGAUGGCUGCGAGACCGUGCACACACCGUUCAUCUACACCUCCAAUUAAUGAAUGGCUUUUCAUCAGUUUUUUCACUCGUUUUCGCUUUGUUGCUUCGCUAGUACAUACGCACAUAACACCGAUCGGCGAUUUUUAUUUUUAUUUUUUCUCGCGAUAAACACUUGUUGAUCGAACUUAGAAGUUGAACGCGUUCAAUUUCUCAUCGACAGUAUCGAUUUUACGCUUUUAUUGUUUACAUAUAACUCAACCGUUUGUGCAAAGGUAUGAGAGCAUUGUGCUGGCACUUGCAUUAACAGUUUGCAUUUCGAAAGUUUAUUUAAUAGAAAUUUAUUUAAUUUUGACAAGCAUAACAUUUUUUAGAGUAAAUAUUCAAGAGAUUGCGUAAAUAAAUUACACAACUCUAAUGUACUAUUAUUAUUGCGAAGAAGACUUGCACUUUAGACAAAAUUUACUAAAAAGUAGCACCUUUUAGAGUAAAUAUUCACACAAGUAAUAUUUCAAUCAUGAAUACUUCGUGCUGAUGGCUAUUCACGUUAUCUAUUUAGAAAAUCAAUCAAUGCAGAAAUUCUUACCAACUUAUGAAAUAAGAAUACCAAAUCUGUUGAUUUCAGAAGCAAGAGAUAUUUUGUAAAUUUUAUCAAUUGAUAAUACUUUACAAAUUCCCUGAUGUUUGUCCUCUUCAAAGAUUCAUCAAUAUUGAUAAGAUAACCAAAAAAAAAAAAUAAAAAUUAACAUAUUGCCAAAAUAAUGCUUGUAAUACUUAUGAAAAUUGUAUAAAUGAAGUUAGACAAUUUGAGUAACAGUUACACAAAAUAGAAAACAUAAUUAUAAAAAAAAUCAUAUUUAUAAUAAUGAAAUUGUGAAAUAAUUUAUAUUUACAUAUACCAUAAAAAGUGUUUAAAUUAAU